UACGGAGGGUGCAAGCGUUGUCCGGAAUCACUGGGCGUAAAGGGCGCGUAGGCGGCUCAUGAAGGCUGUGGUGAAAGUCCGGGGCUCAACCUCGGAUCGGCCGUGGCGACUCGUGGGCUGGAGCACUGUAGAGGCGGGUGGAAUUCCGGGUGUAGCGGUGAAAUGCGCAGAUAUCAGGAGGAACACCGGUGGCGAAGGCGGGUCUCUGGGCAAUAACUGACGCUGAGGAGCGAAAGCGUGGGGAGCGAACAGG
rnacentral:rRNA from 1 species